GCGAGUGAAACAAGGGAAUGAACAAGAAAGCUUGAAAUGAAUACCUUUCUGGGUUUUCGUUCCCUUGAUGCCAUUUCCAAGCCUCCUUCUUUCAAUGCAAGAAAAAACCCUUUUUUAGUAGUGUUGGUGAGGAAAGAAACACGGUGGAUAAAAUGAGAGGGAAAUAAACUUCGAAUCUGAAAUGUGUAACUGGUUGUUCGUAUUCUCUCCGAACGUCACUUUCUUCUAGCUCUC
rnacentral:lncRNA from 1 species